UGUGAAGUCAUUGAUGCCAUGCUUCCAGGAAAAGCCUCUAAGCUUCAGAUUGUAAGGAAUCGUACCCCAAACCGACACAGGUGGUCGGGUAGAGAAUACCAAGGCGCUUGAGAGAACUCGGGUGAAGGAACUAGGCAAAAUGGUACCGUAACUUCGGGAGAAGGUACGCUCUCGACGGUGAAGUCCCUCGCGGAUGGAGCUAUUGAGAGUCGCAGAUACCAGGUGGCUGCAACUGUUUAUUAAAAACACAGCACUGUGCAAAAUCGUAAGAUGACGUAUACGGUGUGACGCCUGCCCGGUGCCGGAAGGUUAAUUGAUGGGGUUAGACUUCGGUCGAAGCUCUUGAUCGAAGCCCCGGUAAACGGCGGCCGUAACUAUAACGGUCCUAAGGUAGCGAAAUUCCUUGUCGGGUAAGUUCCGACCUGCACGAAUGGCGUAAUGAUGGCCACGCUGUCUCCACCCGAGACUCAGUGAAAUUGAAAUCGCUGUGAAGAUGCAGUGUACCCGCGGCUAGACGGAAAGACCCCGUGAACCUUUACUACAGCUUGGCACUGAACAUUGACCCUACAUGUGUAGGAUAGGUGGGAGGCUUUGAAGCACGUACGCCAGUAUGUGUGGAGCCGUCCUUGAAAUACCACCCUUGUAGUGUUGAUGUUCUAACGUCGACCCCUAAUCGGGGUUGCGGACAGUGCCUGGUGGGUAGUUUGACUGGGGCGGUCUCCUCCCAAAGAGUAACGGAGGAGCACGAAGGUGGGCUAAUCACGGUUGGACAUCGUGAGGUUAGUGCAAUGGCAUAAGCCCGCUUGACUGCGAGAAUGACAAUUCGAGCAGGUGCGAAAGCAGGUCAUAGUGAUCCGGUGGUUCUGAAUGGAAGGGCCAUCGCUCAACGGAUAAAAGGUACUCCGGGGAUAACAGGCUGAUACCGCCCAAGAGUUCAUAUCGACGGCGGUGUUUGGCACCUCGAUGUCGGCUCAUCACAUCCUGGGGCUGAAGUCGGUCCCAAGGGUAUGGCUGUUCGCCAUUUAAAGUGGUACGCGAGCUGGGUUUAGAACGUCGUGAGACAGUUCGGUCCCUAUCUGCCGUGGGCGUUGGAAGAUUGAAGGGGGCUGCUCCUAGUACGAGAGGACCGGAGUGGACGAACCUCUGGUGUUCGGGUUGUGUCGCCAGACGCAUUGCCCGGUAGCUAAGUUCGGAAUCGAUAACCGCUGAAAGCAUCUAAGCGGGAAGCGAGCCCUGAGAUGAGUCUUCCCUGAUACUUUAAGUAUCCUAAAGGGUUGUCGGAGACUACGACGUUGAUAGGUCAGGUGUGUAAGUGCUGUGAGGCAUUGAGCUAACUGAUACUAAUUGCCCGUGAGGCUUAACCAUACAACACCCAAGGGGUUU
rnacentral:rRNA from 1 species